UAGGGAAUCUUCCGCAAUAGACGAAAGUCUGACGGAGCAACGCCGCGUGAGUGAAGAAGGAUUUCGGUUCGUAAAACUCUGUUGUUAGGGAAGAAAAAAUGUAUAGUAACUAUAUACAAAAGAGACGGUACCUAACCAGAAAGCCACGGCUAACUACGUGCCAGCAGCCGCGGUAAUACGUAGGUGGCAAGCGUUGUCCGGAAUUAUUGGGCGUAAAGCGCGCGCAGGUGGUUUAGAAAGUCUGAUGUGAAAGCCCACGGCUCAACCGUGGAGGGUCAUUGGAAACUAAUAAACUUGAGUGCAGGAGAGAAAAGUGGAAUUCCUAGUGUAGCGGUGAAAUGCGUAGAGAUUAGGAGGAACACCGGUGGCGAAAGCGGCUUUUUGGCCUGCAACUGACACUGAGGCGCGAAAGCGUGGGGAGCAAACAGG
rnacentral:rRNA from 1 species